rnacentral:rRNA from 1 species
UACGUAGGGGCCGAGCGUUGUCCGGAUUCAUUGGGCGUAAAGAGCGUGUAGGCGGCCGCUUAAGUCCUGCGUGAAAUCUCGGAGCUCAACUCCGAGCGGUCGUGGGAAACUGGGCGGCUAGAGUGCGGGAGAGGAGAGUGGAAUUCCUGGUGUAGCGGUGGAAUGCGCAGAUAUCAGGAGGAACACCGGUGGCGAAGGCGGGUCUCUGGGCAGAGUCUGACGCUGAGGCGCGAAAGCUAGGGGAGCAAACAGG